rnacentral:rRNA from 1 species
GGCUCAGGAUGAACGCUGGCGGCGUGCUUAACACAUGCAAGUCGAACGGGAAAUAUUUCAUUGAGACUUCGGUGGAUUUGAUCUAUUUCUAGUGGCGGACGGGUGAGUAACGCGUGGGUAACCUGCCUUAUACAGGGGGAUAACAGUCAGAAAUGGCUGCUAAUACCGCAUAAGCGCACAGAGCUGCAUGGCUCAGUGUGAAAAACUCCGGUGGUAUAAGAUGGACCCGCGUUGGAUUAGCUAGUUGGUGGGGUAACGGCCCACCAAGGCGACGAUCCAUAGCCGGCCUGAGAGGGUGAACGGCCACAUUGGGACUGAGACACGGCCCAGACUCCUACGGGAGGCAGCAGUGGGGAAUAUUGCACAAUGGGGGAAACCCUGAUGCAGCGACGCCGCGUGAGUGAAGAAGUAUUUCGGUAUGUAAAGCUCUAUCAGCAGGGAAGAAAAUGACGGUACCUGACUAAGAAGCCCCGGCUAACUACGUGCCAGCAGCCGCGGUAAUACGUAGGGGGCAAGCGUUAUCCGGAUUUACUGGGUGUAAAGGGAGCGUAGACGGCGACGCAAGUCUGAAGUGAAAUACCCGGGCUCAACCUGGGAACUGCUUUGGAAACUGUGUUGCUAGAGUGCUGGAGAGGUAAGCGGAAUUCCUAGUGUAGCGGUGAAAUGCGUAGAUAUUAGGAAGAACACCAGUGGCGAAGGCGGCUUACUGGACAGUAACUGACGUUGAGGCUCGAAAGCGUGGGGAGCAAACAGGAUUAGAUACCCUGGUAGUCCACGCC